rnacentral:rRNA from 1 species
GACGAACCGUGCGAACGUUAUUCGGAAUCACUGGGCUUAAAGCGCGUGUAGGCGGCCCGACGCGUCGGUUGCUGAAAUCCCCCGGCUCAACCGGGGAACGGGCAUCGAAACGGUCGGGCUGGAGGGGGGUAGGGGGGACGGGAACUUCCGGUGGAGCGGUGAAAUGCGUUGAGAUCGGAAGGAACGCCCGCGGCGAAAGCGCGUCCCUGGACCCCACCUGACGCUGAGACGCGAAAGCCAGGGGAGCGAACGGG